rnacentral:lncRNA from 1 species
GGAGGGGGGAACGCUAGAUGCCGCAGAAGACGCCGCCACUGUUCUCGCCCGGGUCCAACGCAGACGAGCCCGAGCUCCCACCGCCUGCGGCUCCACCGCUGCCAGGGUCCCGCACAGUGACCGCACUGGUGCCAUGCUGCUUGUCGGCUUAUGCUCCGGCAGGAGGCCGUUCAGAGCCUCCAGUCCACGAGCACCGAGAGGCCUCUGCCAAAUUCUCGGGGGUGCGGUGGGGCUUGGUUCACCCGUGGAGGAAAAACUGCUUGACGCCAUCUCAAAGACCAGCACCGAGCCUUUCAGGUACUUCCCAGGGAAUGGCACUGCAACUCACUGCGGCAACCAUAAUUUUGUACCCUCAAAAUAACUCUUUCCAGCUGUACUCCGCAUAACGAGCCCCGGAAACAAUCCACCCCCGCACCACCACCACCACCGACGCCAGGCAAGGGGCUCCCUGCUCCCAUGGAGACCCAGGAGGGACCCCUGGACCCCGCAGUCUGACGCGAGGGCAAUACCACAGGACAUCUGCCCGAGGACAGGCCUAGGGCCAGGGGGCCCCAGAGAGUUAACCAGCUCCAAAAAACAGGACGGAGCAGGAACGUCAAAGGCCAUCUUGGAAUCAGAGAGGUGGAGAGAAAACGGAAAAAAGAAAGCAAACUUUGCCACCGAGGGACUUAGUCAGAUGUUUUCAGUUUCUCAGAAUUACACGCGCAGCACCUGCAGGCCAAUCCACGUCCGAUUCCUGCUGUUGAGAAGAAAUUACUCUCCAUGAGCCAGCACCCACAGCCUGUCCUGAGGACGGUGCCACUUUCAGGGAGGCCCCAGAUGACUGCUGUCGGCUCAGCCACAGGAGGGAAGCCCAGGGCCUAGCCUGGACGGAGCCUUCGGCAGGGCUUGUGCCCAGUGAUUCUCCACCAGCCGGGCAGCGCAGACAGGUCCUGCGGGAAGAACUCUCCCUCGGUGGGCCGGGGGCUGAGCCAGGCAGGCCCUAGUUGGGCCGUUUCAUCAGAGGACACUGGUUUCAUGGCUGGUGUGGAGGCAAACCGCACAGGGCCUGAGCUCCCCAGCAAAGCCCUGUGCUGUGGCAGAAGUACCUGGAGGAGCGGGACAUUGCACUUGGCCUCCCCAGCUUUUUCUUUUCUGUCUCCACGGCCUGAACACAGAGCCGAUGGGCCCAGAGGCCCGGUGUGGGACACAGGCUGGCUCAGCAGGGACAGCACAGGGAGUGUUCCACAUGCCAGCAGCCUCCCAGGGGUCAGGGGAUGCUCUGCCGAGACAGCCCUGGCCCUGUGUCUGUCACACAAUGCGAGGGACCCGAGCGGGUGCCAAAGAACCAAGGCCUCUGCAGACCCAGACCGAAGGUCUCCAGGGCUUUCUGGGAUGAACAAGAGCACACGGCAGCAGAGAGCCAGGCAUGUGCACAGUGUGCUGCCCUCAGCGAAGCGGGCAGUUAGAAUGCGCCGCACUUGGCUGGGGUUGGCAGAGAAGCAGGGAAGGCUCCGAGGGCUCGCCGGCGGCGUGGUGGGGCGGGCAGAGGGGCAGUACUGUUUCACUGCACACUGUCUGUUCUUUUCACAUCUGAGCCAUGCAUAUUCGAAAUGAUAAAAUAGAACCCUAUGACAUAGGCAUCUUCUUCAUUACUCAGAUCAACUGUUAAAAAUCACACAAGUGUUUUAAAAGCCAAUCUUAGAGUGGCCGCCUGCCCCGUGCUGGGCUCUGAAAGCCAGCAGCAGUCCACAGACGCCACCCCGCAGCCCGCUCCUCAGACUGCCUCAGCCCGGACUCCACCCUGGGAGCCUCACACACCUGCUGGGCCACCUGCUCAGACCUCCGCCCGCACAGGCCCACCUCCUGCCUCCCUUUCGGGCUCCAUGACAACAAACCAGCCCUCCUUGGGAACCUGCAAAUCUCCUGCCAGUCCAUCAGGAAGGUGCAAGACAACACCUGUCCCAAGUCACAGCAGCCUUGCAGGAGCCGUGGACCAGCGUCCGGGCCGGGCUAAGC